UUCUCCGGGAAGUUGAAUCUGGCCAUACUAUAUUAUAAAUGCAAUAUGUUUGAGCAUGGGACAUGAAGUAACCUGCAGUCUGAAUGGCAAUAUGUCUAAUUUCAAAAUAGAUCAAAUUUACAGAUCAUGAUGGGUGCCAGUGGCAAGUGGCUGGCUUGGGUGGCAGCUGCAGGUCAAAUAUGGAUGAUGUUCUGCGAAUCCGUGUUCCUUCUGCUGCUGGUGUUGAUGUCACGAGGCUGAUCGGAGACGGCUGCCACAGUUUUGUGCUGAGGACGAGAUGCUGGCGUACCUGAGCAAGUUUGGGUGCGCCUUCAGCAGCAAGCGGUGCGCCUUCAGCGACGUGCGUCGCUUCCUGCUGUUGCUUCCCAGUGACAGCGUUGAGGCACCAAGCCCAAACUCAAGGAUUGCGUGAAUCUUGAUGACAAUGGAUCCUAUUGGUACUGGCGAGCCGAUGAUCCAGCCGUACAGAUGCGGCUCCCUGACGCGCAUUCCCGAGUUCAGAGAGCGGCUCGAGCGCUCGGUGCACUUCGGACAGCGCUGCCACCGUCGUCCUCAUCAACACUCGAGCCUUGUUCCUGGACCACGCGCAGCAGGUCGAUGUUUUUCAGCUUUGCGUUUUUCAUGCUCUCAUGUCAUCACCUGAAAUAUUUUCGAGAUCUUGUGUGUUUUGGAAUAUGUGCUUCUUCACUAAUAAUGCUUGGUUUUCUGUUGCUUUUGUGUGACUGAUCAUUUUUAACUAGCUAGUACAUUGGUUUUCUCAUCAUGGAAAAUAGAUGCGCCCUCUCAGGUAAGCGUCUAACAACUUUAUUGUGCUUUUGAACUUAGUUUUAGCUCGUCGCGUUGCCAAAUGUCUUUUUUAUAUUGUCGCACUCAUAAACUUGUAUUAUUGUGUUCAUAAACUUGUAUUAUUGUGUGCUCUUGACUUGCAGUUGGAGUGGAUUUUUCCUCGUACAUCGCGUGGUUGGAAGCCCUGCAGCCCGUUCUACAGAAGAAGAAACUUAAAUAAAGACGUUCAAGCGUUUAACCUUUGUCUAUUCUAACCUUUUUAUUUUUUUUAACGUUUUUCCAAGUAGCGGUGUAACAGCAAACUGUUAGCAUUCCAGAAUUUUAGCUAAAUUUGUAUUUUCCAGAAUUUGAUUCCCGAGAUCGA